GAUGAACGCUGGCGGCGUGCCUAAUACAUGCAAGUCGAGCGAACGGACGAGAAGCUUGCUUCUCUGAUGUUAGCGGCGGACGGGUGAGUAACACGUGGAUAACCUACCUAUAAGACUGGGAUAACUUCGGGAAACCGGAGCUAAUACCGGAUAAUAUUUUGAACCGCAUGGUUCAAAAGUGAAAGACGGUCUUGCUGUCACUUAUAGAUGGAUCCGCGCUGCAUUAGCUAGUUGGUAAGGUAACGGCUUACCAAGGCAACGAUGCAUAGCCGACCUGAGAGGGUGAUCGGCCACACUGGAACUGAGACACGGUCCAGACUCCUACGGGAGGCAGCAGUAGGGAAUCUUCCGCAAUGGGCGAAAGCCUGACGGAGCAACGCCGCGUGAGUGAUGAAGGUCUUCGGAUCGUAAAACUCUGUUAUUAGGGAAGAACAUAUGUGUAAGUAACUGUGCACAUCUUGACGGUACCUAAUCAGAAAGCCACGGCUAACUACGC
rnacentral:rRNA from 1 species